UCUGUGCAUCGGUAAAACCAUACAAUUACUAUUUUGUUGCUGUUUUCAAUUAUUUGUUGCUGCAAAUUGUUUGAUUUGUUUUUUUGUUGUUGCAGACAGGCUCAUCAUCUACAAAGACAUCUACCCAUCAGCAAGUAGAUCUCCAAGACCAGCCUUUGAUACAGGAGCUGCACUCUCAAGUCGAAGUCUGGCUGAUUAUCUCCAACUACAUCUACCCUGUAAUGAGCAGAUGUCCAAGACCAACCUAAGCCGUCGGAGUCUCUUGACGGUUGCUACACCAGGAUGCUGCAUAUGGCCCUAAACAUCUCCUGGCAGGACCUUAUGAGAAAGUGGAACCUCUAUGCUGGCGCAAGACUACAGGAGAGAUCUGCGAACACCGACUCAAGUUUGCUGGGCACUGUGUUCAUCCCCUCUGAACUUGUUGCUUGCCCAACCAUCCUCUUGGAGACCACUCAUCAAGGCAAGGCUUCUUGUAGGAGAAGAUGUCAUUCAUAGACACCCUGAAACAAGACACCAGCUUUGCCAGCGCUGAGGAACUAAACUCUCCUGCAUGCUGGAUCAACACAUCUGGACAAAAAUUCCAAGCUUAACAUCUUCAAAGCUCUCUGACUACAAGUAGAUCUCCAUCCAAGACCAGCCGAUGAUGAAGGAGCUACACUCUCC